CUAUUUGCUACAAAUUGAACUUUCUUCCUGAGAAAUAAAACUGACUUUGAGUUUCCCAGUGCCUGCUGCAUUAUUACUGCGUUUGCAAUAAUAUUUCCUCUAAAGAUGGACAUUCAAGUGAAGCCGCUUUAUUUACAAGGAUAUCAUGUAUUUGAUUCUCACUGCAAUCCCACACUCUUUAUUCUGGCGGGUGUGAUGAACAGAUACCUUCUAAGUGCAAGGAUUAGGACCCAUGUAGUCUUUGCUAUCUUCUCUUUUAUCAUCAGAAGCAAAGCUGAGCUUAGCACAGUCUUCAAGUUCUGGGCUGAUAAUCCUUUGAAGAACCCCAACAAGCCUUCCCUUUUCCAAAUAGCAUACAUUGCACCUGAAAUUGUCUUUUUGGUUUUAGGUUUAACUUCCCCAUUCCCAUUUUCAUCUGAAUCUGCAGCCUGGAGCAUCACUUUACAUCGGAUAGCUGGAUAUGUGAUGCAAGUUGCCAUACAUUUUGAAACUGCACCCAAGACAAAAGCAGAAAAAGCAGAAAGAGCUUCUGGAGAUGAAUCUGUAAUGGAUUUUUUGCUGAGCUGCUGCUUCAACAGUCUUUGUUUCAACUGAUCAAACACUGUGUACUGGAUAGAUGGGUUUGAUGUCAGAAGAAGGGAUAUGCCAAGACCAUCAAAUGCCUCGCUCCAUGUGCCCUCAGAAAGGGUUUUCCAAAGUCCCUCAGAUUUUCCAAAUGCACUUGUUUGCAUCCUUGAGGAUGCUGUAUCCAAGGGUUGUGUCACAAUGACAGUACAAGCCCCAGCAGCUGCAGCAACCAACAAGUUUGCCUUUGCUCCAAUCCUUUUGUUGCCACUUUUCUCCAAGUACAGGCGCUUAAAGAAGCUGUACCCAUAGAAAUACACAAAUUGUGAAAUGAAAGAUUGCAAGUUCUUUGUUCCAAGGCCCUGGUACAAUGAAAGAAUCUGACCCGAAGAAAUUGCCUCCCAAAAAACAUCAGAAAUAUUCCUGUACUUUUGUCGAUGACGAGCUCUAAGUUCAGCUUGAUACUUAGUCUUGCAGGUAUCAAGAGGGUACAGGAUGGUGGUGCUAACCAGAGCACCGAUGGCUCCCGAUGUUGCCUCUGACAAGGACUCCAGAUCAAAGGCCAUGUUCUAUAUGUGUAUGCCUUGGAAACAGGACAAACUAACACACAGAGGAAAAGGGAGGAGGAGGAGGAGGAAGAGGAGGAGCUGAUAAGAUUUCUACCAAUUUAGGAUUUG
rnacentral:misc_RNA from 1 species